rnacentral:hammerhead_ribozyme from 1 species
AUCAAGCUGACGAGUUCUAAAUAGGACGAAACGCGCAUCCUGGAU